rnacentral:rRNA from 1 species
GUGGGGAAUAUUGGACAAUGGACCAAAAGUCUGAUCCAGCAAUUCUGUGUGCACGAUGAAGUUUUUCGGAAUGUAAAGUGCUUUCAGUUUGGACGAAGUAAGUGACGGUACCAACAGAAGAAGCGACGGCUAAAUACGUGCCAGCAGCCGCGGUAAUACGUAUGUCGCAAGCGUUAUCCGGAUUUAUUGGGCGUAAAGCGCGUCUAGGCGGUUUGGUAAGUCUGAUGUGAAAAUGCGGGGCUUAACUCCGUAUUGCGUUGGAAACUGCCAAACUAGAGUACUGGAGAGGUGGGCGGAACUACAAGUGUAGAGGUGAAAUUCGUAGAUAUUUGUAGGAAUGCCGAUGGGGAAGCCAGCCCACUGGACAGAUACUGACGCUAAAGCGCGAAAGCGUGGGUAGCAAACAGGAUUAGAUACCCCAGUAGUCC